GUCGAACGAUAAACUUUCCUUCGGGAAAGAUAUAAAGUGGCGCACGGGUGAGUAACACGUAAGUAAUCUACCUUCGAGUGGGGAAUAACGUCCGGAAACGGACGCUAAUACCGCAUAAUGCAGCGGCAUCGAAAGAUGACAGUUGUUAAAGGAGCAAUUCGCUUGAAGAGGAGCUUGCGGCAGAUUAGCUAGUUGGUAAGGUAAUGGCUUACCAAGGCUUCGAUCUGUAUCCGGUCUAAGAGGACGGCCGGACACACUGACACUGAAUAACGGGUCAGACUCCUACGGGAGGCAGCAGUCGGGAAUUUUGGGCAAUGGGCGAAAGCCUGACCCAGCAACGCCGCGUGAAGGAUGAAGUAUUUCGGUAUGUAAACUUCGAAAGAAUGGGAAGAACUCAAUGACGGUACCAUUUAUAAGGUCCGGCUAACUACGUGCCAGCAGCCGCGGUAAUACGUAGGGACCAAGCGUUGUUCGGAUUUACUGGGCGUAAAGGGCGCGUAGGCGGCAAAUUAAGUCAGCUGUGAAAUCUCCGAGCUUAACUCGGAACUGUCAGCUGAUACUGAUGUGCUAGAGUGCGGAAGGGGCAAUCGGAAUUCUGGGUGUAGCGGUGAAAUGCGUAGAUAUCAAGAGGAACACCUGAGGUGAAGACNGGUUGCUGGGCCGACACUGACGCUGAGUGCGCGAAAGCCAGGGGAGCAAACGGGAUUAGAUACCCCGGUAGUCCUGGCCUUAACGAUGAAUACUUGGUGUCUGGA
rnacentral:rRNA from 1 species